UGGCAUUCCACCAGAUAUGUAGGGGACCAAAUUAAAUUAAGGAGAUGGAUUGCAUCAUCAUUUAAGCCUGCUACAGAUUGGAGCAAAACCCUAACUAACAUCCACCAAACCAGCCAGAAUAUUGGAUCUUUUCUCCUAAUCAAUUCGAAGAGUUGCUACCUCUCUCCUAAGAAGUAGUAGAGGGGUCUCUCAUCAGGGGGCGGCGGCACCGGAACCAUCGCCGGAGCUGCCGCAGCUGAGAGCGGCGGAAGCAGAGGCAGGGAAGGAGGCGGGCGGGUGGCGCUUGCGUUUCUUUCUCUCGUAGGGGAUGCCGCGGGCCUUGGCCUGGCUCUCGCGGACGUCGAGGAGGAAGAUGCGGAUGGCGCGGGCGGCGAAGGGGUUGGUCUCCGGUAUGCCGCCGGCCUCCUCGUAGGCGGCGCGGAGGCGGCCGAUGAGGGCGUCGAGGGAGCCCCAGGCCUGGCGGAGCGGGCAGUCGCAGGGCCCCGGGGGGCUCGGUUGGCCGUAGAAGGCGCAGCCCGCGGCGUGCACCUUCGUCUUCCCGAACUGGUCGAGGUACCGCAAGAACUCGAUCACGUGCGCCCCGCUGCACCGCGCCAGCACCAGCGGCGGCGUGUGGUUCCUCAGGUACGUCAGGAACGUGUUCCAGUCCCGCCGCUUCUGCGACUCGUACCGACUCGGCGCCUGCUGCGCCGCCGCCGCCGGAUGACCUCCGGACGACGACGCCGCGCCGUCCUCGUCCGCCGCAGAUUCCAUGAUCCGCUCCGCCCUGCCCCU